AUGCACGCCCAUCGGCUUUGUGGGCUAAGAGAGGAAGCCCUUGAACACCGUGCAGACUUCAGGAGAUCCAGCACAAGUGGUCUGCAUUUUUAUUCUGAAUUACUAGCAGCAAUCGUGAGUACGUCACACACGUCAUCCAUGGGCCAUCCUCUGCGCCGAGGAGAAUGGCCGCUCUUGGAGAAGGGGACUGGUGAGGGCAGCUCAGUGUGUCCCUGUGACACCCAGCAAGCACAGCCACAGAGCUGUGAAAGGCAGUGGUUUACCUGGCACCUACACCUGGAGAACACCUACACCCAGGAAACACCUACACCUGGAAAAUACCCACACCCAGGAAACACCUACACCUGUAAAACACCCACACCCAGGAAACACCCACACCCAGGAAACACCUGCACCCGGGAAACACCCACACCCGGGAAACACCCAAACGCACCCAGGAAACACCCACACCCAGGAAGCACCCACAUCCAGGAAGCACCUACACCCAGGAAAUACCCACACCUGGGAAACACCCACGCCUGGGAAAUACCUACAACCAGGAAUCACCAGCACCCGGGAAACAACCACACCAAGAAAUAUCUACACUCGGAGAACACCUACACCUGGGAAACACCUGUAUCCAGGAAACACCCACACCCAGGAAACACCCACACCCAGGAAACACCCACACCUGGGAAACACCCACACCCGGGAAAUACCCCCACCCAGGAAACACCCACACCCGGGAAACACCCACACCCGGGAAACACCCACACCUGGGAAACACCUAUACCCGGGAAACACCCACACCCAGGAAGCACCCACACCCAGGAAGCACCCACACCUGGGAAACACCCACACCCGGGAAACACCCACACCCAGCACCCACACCCGGGAAACACCUCACGAUGCCUUCACGUCCCAGUGCCUCUCGCGGUGAAGGCGAUGAGCCGAGGUUCGCAGAGCAGAGGAAUUCCAGUCUGCUGUGGCCACAUCAACUCCACAGACAGCGGGCGCCCGCCUGCAGGUCAGCACCCAGCCCCCGACUCUGGGGACAACGGGGCUCCUCGUCCUACUUAG
rnacentral:lncRNA from 1 species